GUAGGUGGCAAGCGUUGUCCGGAAUUAUUGGGCGUAAAGCGCGCGCAGGCGGUUCUUUAAGUCUGAUGUGAAAGCCCACGGCUCAACCGUGGAGGGUCAUUAGAAACUGGAGAACUUGAGUACAGAAGAGGAAAGCGGAAUUCCACGUGUAGCGGUGAAAUGCGUAGAGAUGUGGAGGAACACCAGUGGCGAAGGCGGCUUUCUGGUCUGUAACUGACGCUGAGGCGCGAAAGCGUGGGGAGCAAACAGGAUUAGAUACCCUGGUAGUCCACGCCGUAAACGAUGAGUGCUAAGUGUUAGGGGGUUUCCGCCCCCCUUAGUGCUGCAGCUAACGCAUUAAGCACUCCGCCUGGGAGUACGGCCGCAAGGCUG
rnacentral:rRNA from 1 species